rnacentral:rRNA from 1 species
AUGAACGCUGGCGGCGUGCCUAAUACAUGCCAGUCGAGCGAACGGACGAGAAGCUUGCUUCUCUGAUGUUAGCGGCGGACGGGUGUGUAACACGUGGAUAACCUACCUAUAAGACUGGGAUAACUUCGGGAAACCGGAGCUAAUACCGGAUGAUAUUUUGAACCGCAUGGUUCAAAAGUGAAAGACGGUCUUGCUGUCACUUAUAGAUGGAUCCGCGCUGCAUUAGCUAGUUGGUAAGGUAACGGCUUACCAAGGCAACGAUGCAUAGCCGACCUGAGAGGGUGAUCGGCCACACUGGAACUGAGACACGGUCCAGACUCCUACGGGAGGCAGCAGUAGGGAAUCUUCCGCAAUGGGCGAAAGCCUGACGGAGCAACGCCGCGUGAGUGAUGAAGGUCUUCGGAUCGUAAAACUCUGUUAUUAGGGAAGAACAUAUGUGUAAGUAACUGUGCACAUCUUGACGGUACCUAAUCAGAAAGCCACGGCUAACUACGUG